UGAGUUAUUGACUAAUAGGUAAGUCCCUUGUAUUUGGUACAAGUCAUAUACGUUCGAGUCGUAUUAACUCAG
rnacentral:tRNA from 3 species